rnacentral:rRNA from 1 species
CCUACGGGCGGCAGCAGUGGGGAAUAUUGGACAAUGGGGGGAACCCUGAUCCAGCCAUGCCGCGUGUGUGAAGAAGGCCCUCGGGUUGUAAAGCACUUUCAGUGAGGAAGAACACCUGGUGGUUAAUACCCAUCAGGAAAGACAUCACUCACAGAAGAAGCACCGGCUAACUCCGUGCCAGCAGCCGCGGUAAUACGGAGGGUGCGAGCGUUAAUCGGAAUUACUGGGCGUAAAGCGCGCGUAGGUGGCUUGAUAAGCCGGUUGUGAAAGCCCCGGGCUCAACCUGGGAACGGCAUCCGGAACUGUCAAGCUAGAGUGCAGGAGAGGAAGGUAGAAUUCCCGGUGUAGCGGUGAAAUGCGUAGAGAUCGGGAGGAAUACCAGUGGCGAAGGCGGCCUUCUGGACUGACACUGACACUGAGGUGCGAAAGCGUGGGUAGCAAACAGGAUUAGAUACCCGGGUAGUC